rnacentral:misc_RNA from 1 species
AGUCUAACAUCUAUGCGAGUGUUCGGGUGUCAAACCCCUACGCGUAAUGAAAGUGAACGGAGGUGGGAGCUUCGGCGCACCAUCGACCGAUCCUGAUGUCCUCGGAUGGAUUUGAGUAAGAGCAUAGCUGUUGGGACCCGAAAGAUGGUGAACUAUGCCUGAAUAGGGUGAAGUCAGAGGAAACUGUGGUGGAGGCUCGCAACGGUUCUGACGUGCAAAUCGAUCGUCAAAUUUGGGUAUAGGGACGAAAUACUAAUCGAACCAUCUAGUAGCAGGUUCCUG